rnacentral:rRNA from 1 species
AUUGAACGCUGGCGGCAGGCCUAACACAUGCAAGUCGGACGGUAGCACAGAGGAGCUUGCUCCUCGGGUGACGAGUGGCGGACGGGUGAGUAAUGUCUGGGGAUCUGCCCGAUAGAGGGGGAUAACCACUGGAAACGGUGGCUAAUACCGCAUGACGUCGCAAGACCAAAGAGGGGGACCUUCGGGCCUCUCACUAUCGGAUGAACCCAGAUGGGAUUAGCUAGUAGGCGGGGUAACGGCCCACCUAGGCGACGAUCCCUAGCUGGUCUGAGAGGAUGACCAGCCACACUGGAACUGAGACACGGUCCAGACUCCUACGGGAGGCAGCAGUGGGGAAUAUUGCACAAUGGGCGCAAGCCUGAUGCAGCCAUGCCGCGUGUAUGGAGAAGGCCUUCGGGUUGUAAAGUACUUUCAGCGGGGAGGAAGGCGACGUGGUUAAUAACCGCGUCGAUUGACGUUACCCGCAGAAGAAGCACCGGCUAACUCCGUGCCAGCAGCCGCCGUAA